CGCUAUUGGAGUUCGAUUAAGCCAUGCGAGUCGAGAGUCUUAGGGACUCGGCGUACCGCUCAGUAACACGUGGGUAACCUGCCCUAUGCUGGGGAAUAACCUCGGGAAACUGAGAAUAAUGCCCCAUAGUUCACUACGCCUGGAACGGUGAGUGGAUGAAAGCUCCGGCGGCAUAGGAUGGGCCUGCGGCGUAUCAGGUCGUAGGGGGUGUAACGUACCCUCUAGCCAUCGACGCGUACGGGUGUUGGGAGACAUAGCCCGGAGAUGGAUUCUGAGACACGAAUCCAGACCCUACGGGGUGCAGCAGGCGCGAAAACUUGGCAAUGCGAGAAAUCGUGACCAGGGAACUCCAAGUGGCUGGGGUAAGACCCAGUCUUUUCUUGACUCUUCAAAGGUCUUGGAAUAAGAGGUGGGUAAGGACGGUGCCAGCCGCCGCGGUAAUACCGGCGCCUCAAGUGGUAGUCGAUUUUAUUGGGCCUAAAACGUCCGUAGCCUGUUUGGUACAUUCGUGGGUAAAUCAACCAGCUCAACUGGUUGAAUUCUGCGAGCACGGCCAGACUUGGGACCGGGAGAGGUGUGGGGUACGCUCAGGGUAGGGGUAAAAUCCUGUCAUCCUGAGCGGACCACCUGUUGCGAAGGCGCCACACUAGAACGGAUCCGACGGUCAGGGACGAAGCCUAGGGGCACGAACCGGAUUAGAUACCCGGGUAGUCCUAGGUGUAAACGCUGUGGACUUGGUGUUGGGGAUUCUCCGAGGAUUCUCAGUGCCGAAGCGAAGGUGAUAAGUCCACUGCCUGGGGAGUACGGUCGCAAGGCUGAAACUUAAAGGAAUUGGCGGGGGAGCACCGCAACCUGAGGAUUGUGCGGUUUAAUUGGAUCAACGCCGGG
rnacentral:rRNA from 1 species